UACGUAGGGGGCAAGCGUUGUCCGGAUUCAUUGGGCGUAAAGAGCGUGUAGGCGGCCAGGUAGGUCGGUUGUGAAAACUGGAGGCUCAACCUUCAGAGGUCGACCGAAACCAUCUGGCUAGAGUCCGGGAGAGGAGAGUGGAAUUCCUGGUGUAGCGGUGAAAUGCGCAGAUAUCAGGAGGAGCACCAAUGGCGAAGGCAGCUCGCUGGGACGGUACUGACGCUGAGGCGCGAAAGCGUGGGGAGCGAACAGG
rnacentral:rRNA from 1 species